GUUAUCUCAAAGUGAUACCUCUGCUUUUAAAGGGGCACACAUCACUUUGAGAUAACUGUCUCAUUCAAUUCUUUAACUUUGAAAUGGACAAUUGCCUCACCCUACAUGCAAAAAAAAAAAGCAGCUAAAAAAAUAUUUUAUAUUUACCUGCUUCUUCUUUCUUAUGCUUUCAACAUCCACUCCAGGGGAGACACUAAUCUGG